AUGAUUGUCAACGAACUAUGGAAGUUAUACUAUUAUACUAGCAAACAACCUUAUGUCAUCACUAUAUCACAGUCCUAAACAUACAUGAAAUAUUGGCAACAGGACGUUAAGCAACUAAUAUCGAUAAUAAUUAUUAUGUCAAGCCGUUGAAGGUUACAUGGAAACUAAUAACAAAUAAAUAUGAUUGUCAAUGAACAACGAAAGUAAUACUAUUAUACUAGCAACAGAUCGUUGGCGUUUCAAUGGGCAGAGUUGCCUCCCUGGAAAUAUCUGAUAUUGCUAUAUUUAACCAUAAUUAUAGACAUAAAACAGAGAAAUACCCUACGAAAAUAAUAUUAAAUUCCACUAAAGAAUGAGAAUUGAUGGAUUUAAUAUAUUUAAUGAAGAAGGUGAACAAAGUGAACAAUUAUUUGAAAUAGUACAUUGUUUUCAUUCCUUCUGAAGGUACGAGAAUUCUUAGAAUCAAUAGCAACAUGUACUUAUAAGAUAAACGUAUAAAUACGGUCUAAAGUGUAAAUGUCUUGCGGAUUCCUCCCUAACAAAUACAGUUAGGCUGAGUUAGCAUAGAUGCAGACAGCAACUUCGAAAGAAACAAAAUAUUAGAAAACAAGUGGCAGAAAUAUCUUGAAUAUCUUAACACGGUAAUAACAAAAUUUGGUAUAUAAUUCGGAAAGAUCCGAUUGCCAAAAAAAAAAAAAAACAAAAAAAAACAAA